rnacentral:rRNA from 1 species
UACGAAGGGUGCAAGCGUUACUCGGAAUUACUGGGCGUAAAGCGUGCGUAGGUGGUUUUUUAAGUCCGUUGUGAAAGCCCUGGGCUCAACCUGGGAAUGGCAGUGGAUACUGGAAAGCUAGAGUGCGGUAGAGGGUAGUGGAAUUCCCAGUGUAGCAGUGAAAUGCGUAGAGAUCGGGAGGAACACCAGUGGCGAAGGCGGCUACCUGGACCAGCACUGACACUGAGGCACGAAAGCGUGGGGAGCAAACAGG